rnacentral:rRNA from 1 species
UACGUAGGGGGCAAGCGUUGUCCGGAUUUAUUGGGCGUAAAGCGCACGCAGGCGGUCUUUUAAGUUUCGAGUGACAGGUGGUGGCUUAACUGCCACAGGCCUUGGAAAACUGGAAGACUUGAGGACGAGAGAGGGACGCGGAAUUCCUGGUGUAGCGGUGAAAUGCGCAGAUAUCAGGAGGAACACCAAUGGCGAAGGCAGCUCGCUGGGACGGUACUGACGCUGAGACGCGAAAGCGUGGGGAGCAAACAGG